rnacentral:rRNA from 1 species
GAUGAACGCUGGCGGCGUGCCUAAUACAUGCAAGUCGAGCGAACAGACGAGGAGUUUGCUUCUUUGACGUUAGCGGCGGACGGGUGAGUAACACGUGCAUUACCUACCUCUAAGACUGGUAUAACCAUGGGAAACCGGAGCUAAUACCGUAUAAUAUCUUAAACCGUAUUGUUCAACAGUUAAAGACCAUUUUCAUGUCCUUUAUCGCUUGAUCCGCGCUUGAUUAGCUAGUUGGUCAGGUAACUGCCUACCAAGGCAACGAUGCGUAGCCGACCUGACAGGGUGAUCGGCCACACUGGAACGGAAACACGGACCAGACUCCUACGGAAGGCAGCAGUAGGUAAUGUUCCGCAAGAGGCGGAAGCAUGACGGAGCAACGGCGCGUGAGAGAUGAAGAUCAUCGGAUAGUAAAACUCUGUUAUUAGGGAAGAACACAUGUGUAAGUAACUAUGCACGACUUGACGGUACCUAAUCAGAAAGCCACGGCUAACUACGUG